UCUGAGAGAAGCUUGGAAGGGCCAAUGU
rnacentral:piRNA from 1 species